AUUGAACGCUGGCGGCAGGCCUAACACAUGCAAGUCGAACGAGUGGCGGACGGGAGAGUAAUGUCUGGGACACUGCCUGAUGGCGGGGGAUAACUACUGGAAACGGUAGCUAAUACCGCAUACCAUCGGAUGUGCCCAGAUGGGAUUAGCUAGUAGGUGGGGUAAAGUCUCACCUAGGCGACGAUCCCUAGCUGGUCUGAGAGGAGGACCGGCAACACGGGAACUGAGACAGGGUCCAGACUCCUACGGGAGGCAGCAGUGGGGAAUAUUGCACAAUGGGCGCAAGCCUGAUGCAGCCAUGCCGCGUGUAGGAAGAAGGCCUUCGGGUGGUAAAGUACUUUCAGCAGGGAGGCGUUACCCGCAGAAGAAGCACCGGCUAACUCCGUGCCAGCAGCCGCGGUAAUAC
rnacentral:rRNA from 1 species